AUUCUUUGGCUAUCUGGGAAUCUGGGACUUUUCAACACUGGUGGUAUUUGGAGGUAGUGAUGUCAAACGGAGGCUGUGUGGAACUCACCGUUUUUUGUUGGUGGUUCAGUUACUCCCAUGGCUGGGUCCUACGAGAAUGGAUUCAGCUGAAGAAAAAUGUACAGGUGUCAAGACUGAAGAACAGAUUGCUGCGGAAGGAGCAGAUUGAGCUGCAAGAGUCCUGUGAGGAGGUGAAGAGGCUCUUUAAGGAGAUCCAUGAGAAGAUCUUUGAUCCCUGUGCUCAGCAGCAUCAGGAGGAAGACAACAUGGAUGAAAGACUGAAGAACCUGCUCAAGCAGAAGGAGGUGGUCAAUCAGCAAAGGGAACUUGCAGAAAAGCUGCAGAAUCACGUCAAUAUCUCUGAAAUGAGGUCAGAAAAAUCUCCAAAUCCAGCUGAAACAGGACACAGAACAGGAAGACAGCCUCCUGCAGACAGCUCCUGAAGCUGGAGCAAUAGGUGUCACAGCUCCUGAGAGAACUGAGGAGGUCAAAGAAGCCACCAACAACUUGGACGAUGGCAUUGUCCACCCAAAGAUCAAAGCCUCCUUAGAAGAAGACACCCUGCAAAGCUCCAAGGAGGCAUGACUAUAUACUUGCUUUAAAAAGGCUUUUUACAAUUGGUGACUGCCUUCCUACCAUGUUUCCAAUGCCAACCACAGGUGCACUUCUGUGCUACAAAAUGUGCAGAAAGAUUCAGUUAGUUCUUUAUUUAACCAAUCUGUUCAGUUGAAUUUUUGUUUGUUGUUUUAUUGGAUUUUGUUUACUUUCUUUUUCAUUUUCUUUGGUAUGUUUUGAGGCUUUGGUUUCAUUUCCAGUUUAUUUGUUCUUGUUGUUUUGCUAUUUUGCUAAGGCUACUUAUUGUUUCUUGAUAUUGUACUCCCUCUAAGCCCCUA
rnacentral:lncRNA from 1 species